rnacentral:tRNA from 1 species
GGGUGGGUGGCUCAGUGGUUAGAGCGAAGGACUUGGAACCGUAAGGUCCCGGGUUCGAACCUCGCAAGAGGCA